rnacentral:sRNA from 1 species
UCUACCGAAGUCAAGCGGCGUUCGUUGGA